CGCCAGACUCCUACGGGAGGCAGCAGUGAGGAAUAUUGGUCAAUGGACGAGAGUCUGAACCAGCCAAGUAGCGUGAAGGAUGACUGCCCUAUGGGUUGUAAACUUCUUUUAUAAAGGAAUAAAACGAGGCACGUGUGCCUUUUUGCAUGUACUUUAUGAAUAAGGAUCGGCUAACUCCGUGCCAGCAGCCGCGGUAAUACGGAGGAUCCGAGCGUUAUCCGGAUUUAUUGGGUUUAAAGGGAGCGUAGAUGUGUUGUUAAGUCAGUUGUGAAAGUUUGCGGCUCAACCGUAAAAUUGCAAUUGAUUCUGGCAGUCUUGAGUACAGGUGAGGUAAGCGGAAUUCGUGGUGUAGCGGUGAAAUGCUUAGAUAUCACGAAGAACCCCGAUUGCGAAGGCAGCAUACCGGCGCCCAACUGACGCUCAUUCACGAAAGCGUGGGUAUCGAACAGGAUUAGAUACCCUUGUA
rnacentral:rRNA from 1 species